rnacentral:rRNA from 1 species
GCGUACUGCGGGGCAGGAGCGGAGGGAAUAGGGGGGGGGUGAGCGUGGUUCGGAAAUACUGGGGGUGAAGCGCACGUAGGCGGACCGGAAAGUUGGGGGUGAAAUCCCGGGGCUCAACCUCGGAACUGCCUUCAAAACUACUGGGCGUGAGUUCGAGAGAGGUGAGUGGAAUUCCGAGUGUAGAGGUGAAAUUCGUAGAUAUUCGGAGGAACACCAGUGGCGAAGGCGGCUCACUGGCUCGAUACUGACGCUGAGGUGCGAAAGCGUGGGGAGCAAACAGGAUUAGAUACCCGUGUAGUC